UACGUAGGGUGCAAGCGUUAUCCGGAAUUAUUGGGCGUAAAGAGCUCGUAGGCGGUUUGUCGCGUCUGCUGUGAAAACUGGAGGCUCAACCUCCAGCCUGCAGUGGGUACGGGCAAACUAGAGUGCGGUAGGGGAGAUUGGAAUUCCUGGUGUAGCGGUGGAAUGCGCAGAUAUCAGGAAGAACACCCGUGGCUAAGGCGGCUCUCUAGUACGGUACUGACGCUGAGACGCGAAAGCGUGGGGAGCGAACAGG
rnacentral:rRNA from 1 species